CAAUUAGCUAGACGAGCUCUAAUUAAUUGGAAUUUUGUAGGAGUUGGACUGAGAUCGCGCUGAGGGCAGGGUCCACUCUAAUAUUCGUGUUGAGUUAGUAUUUUACAUUUGGCCUAAACCUACAACUGUUUCUCCGUAAGUUGGAUCAAAUUUCCAGGUUCAAAUUAGCGUUUGUUCUACAAAUUGAAUUAAAUUAUUCUAGAAAAAUAAAAUAAAAUAAAAUAAACAAA
rnacentral:lncRNA from 1 species